AGCAGCCGCGGUAAUUCCAGCUCCAAUAGGCGUAUAUUAAAGUUGUUGCAGUUAAAAAGCUCGUAGUUGAAUUUCGGGGAUCAGAUUGUCGGUCGUGCCUCGGUACGCACUGGCAUUAUUGGUUCCUACCUUCUGAAGAACCGCGAUGUCAUUAAUUUGGUGUCGUGGGGAAUCAGGACUGUUACUUUAGAAAAAAUUAGAGUGUUUAAAGCAGGCGCACGCUUGAAUACAUUAGCAUGGAAUAAUGAAAUAGGACGUUUGAUUCUAUUUUGUUGGUUUCUAGGAUCGACGUAAUGAUUAAUAGGGAUAGUUGGGGCAUUAGUAUUCAAUUGUCAGAGGUGAAAUUCUUGGAUUUAUUGAAGACUAACUACUGCGAAAGCAUUUGCCAAGGAUGUUUUCAUUAUCAAGAACGAAAGUUAGGGGAUCGAAGACGAUCAGAUACCGUCGUAGUCUUAACCAUAAACUAUGCCGACUAGGGAUCGGAUGAUGUUAAUUUAUAAUGACUCA
rnacentral:rRNA from 1 species